rnacentral:rRNA from 1 species
UAAAAUUAAAAAUUUUGGCGGUAUAUUAGUCUUUUUAGAGGAACCUGUUUUAUAACUGAUAAUCCACGAUUAAUUUAACUUAUUUUAGAAGCUUAUAUAUCGUCGUAGUUAGAAUAUUUUUAAAGAAUUCAAUAUUCAAAAUUUUUAAUUAAAAUAUAAAUCAGAUCGAGAUGUAGUUAAUAAAUAAGUAAAAAUGGGUUACAAUAAAUUUACUUUUGGAAAUUUUAAUGAAAUUUAAAUUAUAAAUUGGAUUUAAUAGUAAAUUUAUAUAUUUAUAUAAAUUGAUUAAAGCUCUAUUAUAUGUACAUAUUGCCCGUCGCUUUUGUUUUAAGAUGAAAUAAGUCGUAACAAAGUAGAUUAACUGGAAAGUGAAUCUAGAAGA